rnacentral:lncRNA from 1 species
CCACAUCCAAAGAAAGCUAGCUCCAUAAUACACCUUCAUCCUUUCAAACCAUGGCUACGCAAUUUAUUACUGUUUCUCUGGUUUUAACAUUGUCGCUGUUGAGCAUGGAAGUGAGCCUGGCAGGUCGCCACCUUCUGGACACACCAGCCGCUCCAUCACCACCAACACUACCUCAAAUUCCAUCUCUUCCUAAGCCCACAUUGCCUCCGUUGCCAGCAACGCCUGCGCUGCCCACUACCCCAUUGCCAACACAACCAAAUGUCCCAACUGUGCCAAAGCCCACAUUGCCGCCGCUGCCAUCUCUGACAAACCCAACAUUGCCAACCAUCCCCACAAUUCCAAACCUGGCGCUUCCUCCGCUGCCCUCCUUCCCCACCUCCAUCCCCACCUCAAUCUCUUCAAUAUUCCCCAACAUUCCAACAUUUAAUUUCCUUACACCACCUCCAUCCACCACCACCACCAGCCCUUGAGUGGGCCCUGCCACACCUUAGCCGAGGGAGACUAGCUGGGUUCGUAUGUAUUUGGAAGGCUUCAGGAAAUCCUAAUACACUUUAUUGCAUGAGAGGUUGAUUUAUAUGUCAGGUCUUGUCCUGUAACAAUUCAUGGUCCCUGUGAGGGCUCUUUAUGUGUCUUUCUCUAUGUUGUUUUUCUUUUUCUCUCUAUACGAGUACGAUUCCUUGUGUUUCUUUUUUGUUUUACAUGAAUACGAUCCCUCUCUUUUUAUUUUUUAAUUUGAUUAUUGAACACUUUCUCAAGCAGUAAACAUGACACGAUAUUCAUUUUUACGUCAAAAUCUUUGAAGAGGGAAGAAGACAAUAUGAGAUGCAGACAGAGAAGAAAGGCAGUCCCAACUUGGUCUGCUGACCGUCUUAAGUGUGUACUAAUCUAAUAAUCCUGAUAAAACUUGAUUAAACCUUAAUUUCAUUUUCAUUUUCCUCGUCUACAUCAUCUUUAACUCCUUAAUCAUCAGCUUCGUCUUCCGUAUAAGUCUCAACAAAUACUCUUUUAGGUGGUGUUUGUUUUUUUACUUAAUUCUAAAUAGAACCUUAAUGCUUGAUAGUGUUAAAUAUUAGGUUGUUUGUUUUUAUAGUAUUUUAUUUCUAUUAAGUAUUAAAAAGUAAAAAAAAUUAAUAUGUUAUUUUUUCUAUUUAGAAAAAACUAUAUAUUUUGGUUUUUUCUAUUUAGUAAAAAGUUUAUAAUAAGUCAUGAAAAAGUAGAAAAAUAAAUAAUUUAAAUUCUAAAACUAAAUUACUUUCAAUAAAAAGCCAAAAAAACAAACAUCACCUUAGUGUCACAUUAAGGCACGUAAAUCAAUUUUUCGAUGCCUCAUCUCUAAAUAUUAUCAAAUGAUAUGUUGGGAUUUGUAAAGCAAUUACAAUAAAAUAAUUAUUAAAAAGUCCAUCCAGAGUUAUCAAUCAAUAACAACAACUUGUAUAGGUAAGAAUCUCAUGUAUGAUGAUAAUGGUAUCUUUUGUACAAUUUUUUUUCAUGGGUUAAUAAUUAUAAUUUAAUGUAAUUUACUUAAAAUUAAUAAAAAAAAAAGUUUAUAACAACCGAUCCAUUUUUAUAUUUAAGAAUGAAUUAUUCAAACAAGGUUAAAAUUUAAAUAUAAAUAAAUAAUUUACCUAAACAAGCAAAGUGAUUGAGAUGUACAUCUUAUAAUUAUUUUUUAUGAAGGUUGAAGAGGUUGAAGAUCUAUUUGGUGACAAAAAACACACUCUUUUAAGGAAGGAUGUUUUUUUUAUUUCAUGCCAAUACAAAGUUGCAAGUCAAAUAUUAUGUUAAAACUAUUUUUUUAAAAAAAUUAAUAAAAAGUUUAUCUUGUUUGUAAAAAUAAUGGUUCUAAUUCAUUUUAUAUUAUUUCAUGUAAAUAUAAAAUUGUGAAUAGGAGAUCGUGUUAAAAGAAAUUUAGAAGUUAUUUAGUAAAAAGUUUAUUUUGUUUAUAAAAAUAAUAAUUCUAAUUCAUUUUUUUUCAAAAUGAUUAUAAUAUUAAUGCAUUAAUGUCAAUUAUAUUUUUUUGAAUCUUAAUCAUAUUAUUUAUAUCUGGAUCGUAUAGUUUGUACUCACAUCCUAUUAUUCAUACUUUAAUUUUAACUCAUAAUAUUCGUAUUUGAGUCAUAUUAUUUAUACUUUGGUUAUAUGAUUCGUUUCUUCAUCAUAUUUUUUGUAUUUUUGUCACAUUGUUUGUACGAUGAUAAUAUGUUUAGUAUCUUUGUAACAUUUUUCAUACUGUGAUGAUAUUAUUUGCAUUGUAAUUCUUUUAAAUCCAUGAUUUUAGGUUGUAGUAAAGAAAUUUACAUCACAUACUUCUUUGUACAUCUCGUGUAUAUAUACUGAUUAGUCGUGUAAUGAAGGGCAGGUGGUACAUCAAAACCUCAAGCGGCUUUGGAAUGAUCUAUGAGUCCUACCAUGAAGCAAUCCAUGUGUCAAAAUUUUAGAAGAUAAUAACCCAACAAGCUGAAAAGUUCUAGCAGUAUACAUAAGUGAGCUCAGGUUUGCGUCAGUUUGCCAACCCUAAUUGGUUGGUUUUAUUUUGAAUUUGCUGUAAGACAAGUAGGGGAGGUGAACUAACCACCACUCCUCCAAAUUUCUCUCAACCACAUCUCAUCAAUCUCUUAUAUUGCUUCUUCAAAUUCUUCUCUAUAAAUACCCGUCCAUACUUUGUUGUUGUUUAUCCAGAACAGAGUUGAAAUUCGUCCACAUCCAAGGGAAGCUAGCUCCAUACACUUUUAUCUUUUUAAACCAUGGCUAGGCAUUGUCUUAUUGUAUCUCUGGUUUUAGCAUUGUCACUGUUGAGCAUGGAUGUGAGCCUGGCAGGCCGCCACCUUUUGGACAUACCAACAGCUCCACCACCAGCACUAACACUGCCUCAAACUCCAUCUCUUCCUAAGCCCACAUUGCCUCCCUUGCCAGCAAUGCCUGCGCUGCCCACCACCCCAUUGCCGACACUGCCAAGUGCCCCAACUCUGCCAAAGCUCACAUUGCCGCCGUUGCCAUCUUUGCCAAACCCAACAUUGCCAACCAUGCCCACAAUUUCAAAGAUGACGCUUCCUCCGCUGCCCGCCAUCCCCACCUCAAUUCCUUCAUUCCCCACCAUUCCAACAACAAUCCCAACAGUUCCUUUCCUUUCACCACCUCCAUCCACCACCAGCCCUUAGAGUGGCCCCGCCACACCUUAGUCCUGGGAGACAAGCUGGAUUCACAUGUGUUUGGAAGGCUUCAGGAAUUCCCAUAUAAUUACAUUCUAUUGUCUGAGACGUUUGACUCAUUUGUGAGGUCUUGUAACAAUUCAUGGUCUAUGUGGGGGUUUUCUGCGUUUCUUUUUAUUCUAUAUGAAUACGAUUCCUUGUAUUUCUUUUUGUUCUAUAUGAAUACGAUUCCUUGUAUUUCUUUUUAUUCUAUAUGAA